GCUGUUGUUUCCCUGAUUUCUUCCGAGGAGAUUUUCUGAUCCUUGCCAGCAAAAUCAUUUUCUGGAGUAAGAAAAAGCAUGCAGUGGCACUCCUUCCUUUCUCUCAUGGGGACACAUGGACAAUUCCAAAAGCCCUGCNNNNNCUGCUUUAUCAUCGUAAUGCCUACAAGGGCAAAGUGGCGCACCCAAAGAAUCUUUAUGUUCUGCCAAUCCCUUAAUGACAACAGAAGUGACUCCCUUAUCGACGCAGAAAUAAGUUCCAGACUUACGAGCAUACUGCUCCGAGAACUUCCUCAUUAUCUCCACCGACUUCUCCGAUGGUUCCACUUUGGCUCGAAUUACGGUGGCCGGAGAGCGGCGGAGACGGAAGGUAUUGGGCGGACAUGAGAAGGAGGAGAUGCCACCGAAGCUACAAGAACUGGCUUGGAGAGUCAUGCUGCACCAAAAACAAUCCGUCAAACUGAAAAU
rnacentral:misc_RNA from 1 species